GCCAAAGUUAGCGUUCAUAUUUGUAUGUGUGUGAAAAAAGUAAAAAACUAAAUUGAAUGCUAAUUUUGGCCAGUGUUUGUGACUAAGUGGCUACUAAAAGAGACUGGACAUACCCCAUUUGCAAUACCUUGGGUUGUCUAAUAUUGCAAAUGGUAUGCCAUCAUGGGGGUAAUUCUCAUUCCUGGGCUACCAUACGCUUUCAAAGGCAACGUAACCAACCUGGCCAUUUUCAAUGUAAAAAUAUUUGACCCUGUAACUUUCAAAAACGCUAUAAAAC